rnacentral:rRNA from 1 species
UACGAAGGGGGCUAGCGUUGCUCGGAAUCACUGGGCGUAAAGGGUGCGUAGGCGGGUUUUUAAGUCAGAGGUGAAAUCCUGGAGCUCAACUCCAGAACUGCCUUUGAUACUGAAAGUCUUGAGUGUGGGAGAGGUGAGUGGAACUGCGAGUGUAGAGGUGAAAUUCGUAGAUAUUCGCAAGAACACCAGUGGCGAAGGCGGCUCACUGGCCCAUUACUGACGCUGAGGCACGAAAGCGUGGGGAGCAAACAGG